rnacentral:rRNA from 1 species
AAUAGAUACCCGGGUAGUCCACGCCGUAAACGAUGAGUGCUAAGUGUUAGAGGGUUUCCGCCCUUUAGUGCUGCAGCUAACGCAUUAAGUACUCCGCCUGGGGAGUACGGCCGCAAGGCUGAAACUCAAAGGAAUUGACGGGGGCCCGCACAAGCGGUGGAGCAUGUGGUUUAACUCGAAGCAACGCGAAGAACCUUACCAGGUCUUGACAUCCUCUGACAACCCUAGAGAUAGGGCUUUCCCCUUCGGGGGACAGAGUGACAGGUGGUGCAUGGUUGUCGUCAGCUCGUGUCGUGAGAUGUUGGGUUAAGUCCCGCAACGAGCGCAACCCUUGAUCUUAGUUGCCAGUAUUCAGUUGGGCACUCUAAGGUGACUGCCGGUGACAAACCGGAGGAAGGUGGGGAUGACGUCAAAUCAUCAUGCCCCUUAUGACCUGGGCUACACACGUGCUACAAUGGAUGGUACAAAGGGCUGCAAACCUGCGAAGGUAAGCGAAUCCCAUAAAGCCAUUCUCAGUUCGGAUUGCAGG